GUGAAUCAUCGAAUCUUUGAACGCAAAUUGCACUCUCCGGUUUUCCGGGAGAUUAUGCCUGUUUGAGGGUCAGCCUAAAAAAAAUCGACAUUGUUGCUGUUUUAUGGUGACUUUCGUCUUAGUUGGGUUAUCUUAAAGCUCGGUAUAAGCGACUUAAAAAUUUUUUUUAUGAUUCUAAUAAUGUUUCUAAGAUUUUUCUUGUACGUUCGAAGUAUCGAAUGUCUUAUUAGACGUGGCCGUCAUAUUGGAUCGCGUCCAUAAUCUUUUAUUAACUUCC
rnacentral:misc_RNA from 1 species